rnacentral:rRNA from 1 species
UACAGAGGGUGCAAGCGUUGUUCGGAAUUAUUGGGCGUAAAGCGCGUGUAGGCGGUCCGGUAAGUCCGCUGUGAAAGUCGGGGGGCUCAACCCUCGGAUGCCGGUGGAUACUGUCGGGCUUGAGUACGGAAGAGGCGAGUGGAAUUCCUGGUGUAGCGGUGAAAUGCGCAGAUAUCAGGAGGAACACCAAUUGCGAAGGCAGCUCGCUGGGACGUUACUGACGCUGAGACGCGAAAGCGUGGGGAGCAAACAGG